GCUUGAAAUGUUGUUUGUGGAUGCGGAAAAAUUAAAAUGAAAUUAAAACAGUAAAAACGAAAAUUCACGUUAGAACUAGACAACUCUGACCUUUGCUUAAUGUUUUAACCAUAACCUUUUCUACAGAGCUCUAAAUGAGAUGCGGUUUUUUUUUCCUGGAAAGUAGACUCAAUUAUCUUUCAUUUGAUAUAUAAAACGUAGCAUUUGGAGCUUUGGUCUGGUUGCAGUUAUGUUUUUAAAAAUCGAGUCCAGAGUGUGAAAAUGCUAAACCCAAUACUAGAGCAAACAAAUAUCUAAGCACAGUUAAAACUAUUAAAAUGCAACAAGUAAGCUUAACAUUGAAAGGAAUUCAUCACAGUAAUAAUUCAAAUAAAAGANACUAAAAAAUAAAGGAACUCAUGUGCCCCUCUUCUAGAUGAAACCCNUGACAGCAACUAACAAAUGUGAUAAAAUCAAAGUGUUUCUCUCAAAUUGAAACUAAAACUCCCUCUUCUCGGUUCAAGCAUUAAAAUAAAAAAAACACAAUUAAAAGGAGCCCUACAUUGUAGCCAUUGCAGCCGUGACACUACCUAAUCCAUUUUUCAUUCAUGAAAGCAAAGAAUUAAUGAUUUCAUUCCAGCUGCCGUAGACUCCCAUCAAAUCACGUAACAACUGCACAACAAUAAAAGAAAAGUGCCCUUUCAUUCCAUCAACACUCAAUCAACCGUACCUCCUCCAUUCCUUCCUUUGCUUUCAAUUUUUUUUAAAGCCAAAUCACUUGCAAUCACUGUUUUAAAGCCAAAUCACUUGCAAUCACUGUCCCAUCACCACUUAGCAACAUCUACUCUAUUUUUUUCAUUCCAUGAAUUAGAUAAAGAAAAGCUAAAGAAAGGCUAUCUAUCUUUGCAAUACUACCGAAUGCAUCACAACAAAAAAUCCAUUUAAGAGGUGCCACCGUGCUAGCUCAAAAAUAGUAAAUGCAAAAGAGGAUGCUGGAAUUUAUUUAAAUGCAAAAACCUUUGGAAUAUAUAAAUGCACAAGUACCGUAAACCACUUCAAUCAAUCACCAUUUCUUGAUUUAAUCAAAACCAAAAAGAAAAUUAUUAACGUGUGCAGAAGAUGGAAAGCAAAAGGAAAUGUGCUUCUAGAUUCAAUCAUAAGAAAAAAAAAAACGUAAACACUUCUCCAUCAACCAAAGUCUAGUAGCAGCAACAUGAUUUUAGAAAAA
rnacentral:lncRNA from 1 species